GAUGAACGCUGGCGGCGUGCCUAAUACAUGCAAGUCGAGCGAACAGACGAGGAGCUUGCUCCUCUGACGUUAGCGGCGGACGGAUGAGUAACACGUGGAUAACCUACCUAUAAGACUGGGAUAACUUCGGGAAACCGGAGCUAAUACCGGAUAACAUGUUGAACCGCAUGGUUCAACAGUGAAAGACGGUUUUGCUGUCACUUAUAGAUGGAUCCGCGCCGCAUUAGCUAGUUGGUAAGGUAACGGCUUACCAAGGCAACGAUGCGUAGCCGACCUGAGAGGGUGAUCGGCCACACUGGAACUGAGACACGGUCCAGACUCCUACGGGAGGCAGCAGUAGGGAAUCUUCCGCAAUGGGCGAAAGCCUGACGGAGCAACGCCGCGUGAGUGAAGAAGGUCUUCGGAUCGUAAAACUCUGUUAUUAGGGAAGAACAAAUGUGUAAGUAACUAUGCACGUCUUGACGGUACCUAAUCAGAAAGCCACGGCUAACUACGUG
rnacentral:rRNA from 1 species